rnacentral:rRNA from 1 species
ACCACAACGGGUGGAGCUUGCGGUUUAAUUGGAUUCAACGCCGGAAAUCUUACCGGGACCGACAGCAAUAUGAAGACCAGGCUGAAGACUUUGCCGGAUUAGCUGAGAGGUGGUGCAUGGCCGUCGUCAGUUCGUACUGUGAAGCAUCCUGUUAAGUCAGGCAACGAGCGAGACCCACGCCCACAGUUGCCAGCGUACUCUCUGGAGUGACGGGUACACUGUGGGGACCGCCGCUGCUAAAGCGGAGGAAGGAAUGGGCAACGGUAGGUCAGUAUGCCCCGAAUAUCCCGGGCUACACGCGAGCUACAAUGGUUGGUACAAUGGGUAUCUACCCCGAAAGGGGACGGGAAUCUCCUAAAACCAAUCUUAGUUCGGAUUGAGGGCUGCAACUCGCCCUCAUGAAGCUGGAAUCCGUAGUAAUCGCGUUUCAACAGAACGCGGUGAAUACGUCCCUGCUCCUU